rnacentral:rRNA from 1 species
AUUGAACGCUGGCGGCAUGCUUUACACAUGCAAGUCGAACGGUAACAGGUUAAGCUGACGAGUGGCGAACGGGUGAGUAAUGCAUCGGAACGUGCCCGGUCGUGGGGGAUAACGCAGAGAAAGCUGCGCUAAUACCGCAUACGAUCUAAGGAUGAAAGCGGGGGACCGUAAGGCCUCGCGCGAUCGGAGCGGCCGAUGUCAGAUUAGGUAGUUGGUGGGGUAAAGGCUCACCAAGCCAACGAUCUGUAGCUGGUCUGAGAGGACGACCAGCCACACUGGGACUGAGACACGGCCCAGACUCCUACGGGAGGCAGCAGUGGGGAAUUUUGGACAAUGGGCGAAAGCCUGAUCCAGCAAUGCCGCGUGCAGGAAGAAGGCCUUCGGGUUGUAAACUGCUUUUGUACGGAGCGAAAAGGUCUCCUCCAAUACAGGGGGCUCAUGACGGUACCGUAAGAAUAAGCACCGGCUAACUACGUGCCAGCAGCCGCCGUAA